AAAAGCAUUUGCCAAGGACGUUUUCAUUAAUCAAGAACGAAAGUUAGGGGAUCGAAGAUGAUCAGAUACCGUCGUAGUCUUAACCAUAAACUAUGCCGACUAGGGAUCGGGUGGUGUUCUUUUUUGACCCACUCGGCACCUUACGAGAAAUCAAAGUUUUUGGGUUCUGGGGGGAGUAUGGUCGCAAGGCUGAAACUUAAAGGAAUUGACGGAAGGGCACCACCAGGAGUGGAGCCUGCGGCUUAAUUUGACUCAACACGGGGAAACUCACCAGGUCCAGACACAAUAAGGAUUGACAGAUUGAUAGCUCUUUCUUGAUUUUGUGGGUGGUGGUGCAUGGCCGUUCUUAGUUGGUGGAGUGAUUUGUCUGCUUAAUUGCGAUAACGAACGAGACCUUAACCUACUAAAUAGUACUAUUAGCGUUUGCUGAUUUGGGACUUCUUAGAGGGACUAUCGGUUUCAAGCCGAUGGAAGUUUGAGGCAAUAACAGGUCUGUGAUGCCCUUAGACGUUCUGGGCCGCACGCGCGCUACACUGACGGAGCCAACGAGUAUAUCCUUUGCCGAGAGGUACGGGUAACCUUGUGAAACUCCGUCGUGCUGGGGGAUAGACCAUUGCAAUUAUUGCUCUUCAACGAGGAAUUCCUAG
rnacentral:rRNA from 1 species